UUACUUACCUGGACGGGGUGUAUGGCUGAUCAAGAAGGGUCAUGGCCUAGGUUAGUGACCUCCAUUGCACAGAGGAGGGGCGCUUGUCUAAGGUCGACCCAAGUGGUUGAUCCUACGUCAUAAUUUGUGAUAGUGGGACCUGCGUACGCGCGGCUCCUCC
rnacentral:snRNA from 1 species